rnacentral:lncRNA from 1 species
UUUUUUCUUUUCUUUUUUCUUUUCCUUCCUUCUAAUCUCUCUCCAGGUAUUCCUACCUAACCUUAACUUUUCCUCGGGUUCAAGACCCUUGGAAAGGCCUGUAUACUUAUUUUGUGUACCAUAUUUCCUCUUUGUUCCUACUCUCUCUCCCCACUUUACUUCUGAUAGCUUGUCCUGAAUUUCAUCUAGAAUUUUCAGCCCUAUCUUAAUCACUUGAUAACAUGUGAAAAGGAACAAAAGGGCUCCUAACACCAGAAAAAAUUCAAGGCCAAACAUAUUCCACUUUACUUCUGAUAGACUGUCUUGAAUUUCCUUAGAAAGUUCAAGAUCAGACUUACCUCAUAAAGCUGUACUCACUGGUACUCUCGUUCCCCAGCUGAAAAGUUCUGAAUUCAUACAGUUGAAUCCUUCUUAACAGUCUGCUUUACGGGAACCUUUAUUACCGCGACCCGCAGUUCUGGUUCUGGAAUGAGGGAUCUUCCUUGCGCCAGUCCCGAGUUUUUUCUCGUCCCGGAAUUCGGCACCAAUUGUUAUUAGACGCGUUCUCACGACCGGCCAGGAAAGACGCAACAGACCAGAAUCUUCUGCGGCAAAACUUUAUUGCUUACAUCUUCAGGAGCAGGAGUGCAAGAAGCAAGAGAGAGAGAAAACGAAACCCGUCCCUUUUUUAGGAGAGUUAUAUUUCGCCUAGGACGUGUCACUCCCUGAUUGGCUGCAGCCCAUCGGCCGAGUUGACCUCACGGGGAAGGCAGAGCACAUGGAGUGGAGAACCACCCUCGGCAUAUGCGCAGUUUAUUUGUUUACCACUUAGAACACAGCUGUCAGCGCCAUCUUGUAAUGGCGAAUGUGGGCGCGGCUCCCAACAGGUUUGCAGGGCUCUAUCCCUGACUUUUUUUAAUCAUGCUAGAGAGUGCAUCCAUCUCAUUUAAAAUUCAGCAUGCACUACCUAUUGGGGUGUAGAGCCAUCACAGCAUCCCCUGAGGUUGGUAAAGGGUUCCCACAAGUAUACGGAAGGAGUUAAAGAUAGGGGCUAUAUAGGUUUUGUUGGGUCAUGUGUAGCAAGAGCCAUAUUUUUAGGGCUGCAUUGACAGAAUUUAGAGCUUGGACCUCCUCUGGGGACAGUAUUCUCUGGUAAGGAGAGACUUUUGUCUCCUUUCAGGAUGUUGAAGAGGGGUUGAAGGGUGCUUCUAGGAAGGGGGAGCCAGGGCCAAAGCCAGUUGAGGUUGCCCAGAAAGCUCUGGAGGGAGGCAAGAGUUAAUUCUUGAGGGAAGGAAAGGGUGGGUUUGAGGGAGUGUAUUGAGGUGAGCGAGAUCUCUGCUCAUAAAAAUGUAAUGGGUGCAAUAAGUUGAAUUUUGUGAGAGUUUAUUUCAAAUCCUAGGGCAGAUAGGGAAAGUAUUAGCUGCUCCUUAAAUUGGGAGGGAGAGGUAGAAGAGUCUCCCCAUACUAAUAUAUCAUCCAUAUAAUGGUAUAUAUUGAAUCCUCUGUCUAAAUAGAUUUUUAAUGCAGUGGCUACAGCCUCCGGACAAAUGGUUGGACUGUUAGCCAUUCCCUGAGGGACAACAGUCAAUUCAUAUCGUGAGGGUGGCCCAGAGUUGUUAAUGGGGGGCACUGAGAAUGCAAAGCAUUCGAAGUCUCAGGAUGGAGAGAGAUUAAAAAAAAAAGCCAGGCUGUCUGUGCACAGUUCACUGCCCCACAACACAGCAGUACUUAGCUGACUUCCAGUGAAGGUUGGGGGUGGACCUCUAAUUCCUGAUGGGCUGGCAUGUGUGUCCUCACUGUAAUGAAUCCCGCACUGACAUAUCUUAAGACAUGGAUGAAAGGUAAAACAUUUACCACAGGUCACCACAAAUUCCUGAAUCUCCAAAAGUUUCCAGGUGAUACAUCACAGCCAGGAAUGAAGAAGUAUCCCAUUCCUUGAUAAGCAAAAUUGUCAGUCAUUCCUAAUCAAAAAAAAAAAGAGUAUAGUGCAUAAAAUUUUAGAAAAUAGAAAUACAAUUAAAUUUAUGUUAGUGAUUACUGAACAUUGCUAUCAUUCUAUAAAAGUGUGUGAAACUUGGAACUGCUAAGUAAGUGUCAUUGUAUUAUAGAAUGAUUCACAUUUCAUUUCUUAUAUCAUGCACAUAUGUGUAUAUAUUUACAUAUAUACAUUUACAUAUUUCUGUAUUCCUAACAAUUAAGAAUGUGAAAAAAAUUAUUUGUCAUGUACAGAGUUUCACUGGCCAUACUCACAAACUGGGUUCUAUUAAUAUAAUAACAUCUGACCCACGCUCACAGUCUUAAUUGUGUUCACACUAAUAACAUCUGACCCAGUGCUCAGAGAUUGGAUUCUGUUCAUACUAGUAACACCUACUCUAGUGCCCUAAUUUGAACUUUUAGCAGUUUUCUCAAAAAAUGAAUUACUUAUUCUUGCUGACACACCAAAAGAGUAUGUAAAAUAUUAGAAAACUUUAGUCCAUUUUUAUGAAAACUGAUAUUGUAAGAUUAGUGCUGUUUAGGGCCAGACACGAUGGUUCAUACUUUUAAUCCCAGUACUCAGGAGGCAGAGGCAAGUGGAUCCCUGCCCAAUCACAGCCAGCCAAAGCUACAUGAUGCAUUGCUGUCUCAAAACCAAAAAAACAAAGACUCGUGGUACAUCUAUAUACAAGUGUACUUCAUUUGUUACUUCAGUAUGGCUGUGACUUUUCUGUUCCCAGCCUACAAUGUUUUCUAACAUCUCAAUAACUAAUUUCCAAUCAUACUUUUUGAAGCUCCACAAUAUUGUGUCAACAAAACUCAGGUUAGGAGAGGGUUAUCCAUGUGUACUCUCACAACACAUUCACUAACACCUGCACACUAUAGUCAUUUAGUUUUUACUCUUCUGUUCCUAAGAUUCAUCUCCUUCAGAAUAGACAUUGUGCUAUCAAAGAUAGCAUUCUUUUAUUGCAUACUGCCAUUAAAUACUGAUCUAAGCCAUUGUUAUCCUUGUUCAGAUCAUGUUUAGGUGGCCAUGUACAUGAGAAUUAUUGGUGUAAUUUCUAAAAAUACUAAAAAAAAAACCCACAAUCUCAUAGCAAGCUUACUAAUCCUCUGUCUCUUACCAUCUUUUUGCCCCCCCCCCACUUGUGCAAUAUUCGGUGAGCCUUAGAAUAGAUAGCUAUGGAAGAAUGAGUAGGGUGGUCCUGGAAUGGGAGGGCCAAACAGACAGGAAGAAGAGGGAGAUGAAUGAGGUAGGGAACAUGAGAAGGGACAGCUAAAACUAAGAGCCAUUUGAGGGGCUCAUCUGGAGACCUCAUACAGCAGAGGCACCCUAAAACAUAUGUGAAGGCAAUCUAAAUAGAAUAACCAAAAAAUGUGGGAGGUGGUACUCAAACUGAACAUCUCACAUCACCAAAUGAACUGAACUCUGCAACUCUGCAUUUUGAUUUGUUGUUAUUUUCUAUCAUGUCUUUCCCUAUGCUAAAGUACACAGGAAAAGACCAUGAGGACCCAAUCCUACACAAAAAACUAUGUGAAACUAAGAAAGGCUGAGAGUGAGAGGAAUAGUCUUCACCAGGGAAAGCAUACCAACUGGUUAUUCAAUAUCAAAUGCUCAGCCCUGAGAACAUACACACAAUUAAUGACAUGCAGAACAAGCCCACCAUCAUAUAUAUGUACACACAUCACCAAUACCACCACCACCAACUAAUGAAAACAGAAGCUGUGAAUUUGAAAGAGAAAAAGAGAGCAAUGAGGAGUAUAAGAGAAGACUUGGAUAGAGAAGAUGGAAUGAUUAAAUGUUAUAAUUAUAUAAGAAUCUCAAGGGAAAAAUGAAAUAUAUAACAAAACUUGUCAAGUAAACUUAGUAUAUUGAACCAUAGUUUAUAACUGGUAAUAUGUGACCAGUUUUAACCCCAAUUAAGUUAUGUCACUAAAAGAUAAAAAGAGUUGCUAUUUUAGAAAAAAAAAAUCAUAAAAUUGGGGUUAAAAUUAGUUUCUUGUACCUGGAGUUGAGCAGGAGUCCUAUCCACUUUAAAGCUCUUUCUUUAGUCUGCUCUCGUUUCCCUCGUUGAGACAAGUAAGUCAAUAAUCCUUGUUGAAUCUCAAGGUAUUCAUGCCUCAGUAAAAAGUUUCUAUUAAUCUCUGACUAUUUCUUUCCAUUGAAUGGCUUUCCCAAAUGAACCCUAGCCAUAAAUGUUCUACAUUGGACCUAGCACUUGAAAUUCAAAUGCCAUUGCUUGUCCUUAAACACUAGGGAUAAUUUACAACUGAAAAGUUUCUCAUCUCUUUUCUUUCACUAUUAUCUUUAUAUGAGUCAAAAUUUCUUUUCCUGUUAGAGCUGCUUUGAGCAUUUUUUUAAAUAAAAACAUUAAUGUUUCUAUUACUCUCCUAAGAGAGUUACAAAUAACCUGCUCUAGGUCAGUGUUCUCUCUUUCCUUUGGCAAAACAGUAUCUUUGCAGUUCUGUUCCUUAGUUGGCUGGCCCUAGUCUUUUCUACAUUUGCAAAACACACACAUGCACAUGCACGGGGGUGGGGAGGUGGGGGGCAGAGUCACAGAGAGACAGACAGACAGAGAGACAGAGAACAAAGC